rnacentral:rRNA from 1 species
GACGAACGCUGGCGGCGUGCUUAACACAUGCAAGUCGAACGGAAAGGCCUAGCUUGCUGGGUACUCGAGUGGCGAACGGGUGAGUAACACGUGGGUGAUCUGCCCCUGACUUUGGGAUAAGCCUGGGAAACUGGGUCUAAUACCGGAUAUUCAUUUUUCCUCGCAUGGGGAUUUGUGGAAAGCUUUUGCGGUUGGGGAUGGGCCCGCGGCCUAUCAGCUUGUUGGUGGGGUAAUGGCCUACCAAGGCGGCGACGGGUAGCCGACCUGAGAGGGUGAUCGGCCACAUUGGGACUGAGACACGGCCCAGACUCCUACGGGAGGCAGCAGUGGGGAAUAUUGCACAAUGGGCGCAAGCCUGAUGCAGCAACGCCGCGUGAGGGAUGACGGCCGUCGGGUUGUAAACCGCUUUCGCCUGCGACGAAGCGCGAGUGACGGUAGGGGGAAAAGAAGCACCGGCCAACUACGUG